rnacentral:tRNA from 1 species
AGCAGCGUGGCUUAGUGGAAAAAGCACUGGCUUGGGAGGCAGAGGAUGUGGGUUCUAAUCCCAGUUCUGCUG